rnacentral:rRNA from 1 species
GACGAACGCUGGCGGCGUGCCUAAUACAUGCAAGUAGGACGCAGUUGCGAACGGGUGGGUAACGCCUAGGUAACUACCUAUUAGAGGGGGAUAACUCGUGGAAACGUUAGCUAAUACCGCAUACUAGUAGAUGGACCUGCGUUGUAUUAGCUAGUUGGUCGGGUAAUGGGCUACCUAGGCAACGAUGCAUAAGCGGCCUGGGAGGGGUAGCGGCCACACUGGGAAUGUGACACGGGCCAUACGGCCACGGGAGGCAGCAGUAGGGGAACUGGGGGAAAGGGGGGAACCCGGACCGAGCAAAGGCGCGUGAGUGGAGAAGGGUUUCGGAGCUUAAAGCUUGUUUGUUAAGGAAGCGGUACUUAACCAGAAAGGGACGGCUAACUACGUGCCAGCAGCCGCGGUAAUAC